rnacentral:rRNA from 1 species
CGAGGAUCCAAGCGUUAUCCGGAAUCAUUGGGUUUAAAGGGUCCGUAGGUGGAUAAUUAAGUCAGAGGUGAAAGUUUGCAGCUCAACUGUAAAAUUGCCUUUGAUACUGGUUAUCUUGAAUUAUUGUGAAGUGGUUAGAAUAUGUAGUGUAGCGGUGAAAUGCAUAGAUAUUACAUAGAAUACCAAUUGCGAAGGCAGAUCACUAACAAUAUAUUGACACUGAUGGACGAAAGCGUGGGGAGCGAACAGGAUUAGAUACCCGAGUAGUCC